ACAACAAAUCGGAGCCCUAUCACUAGGGCUCCUAUUCAUGGGAGAGGAGAAACCGGACGAAGAGCUUAUGGGGAAACGUAAGUCUUCUCCGCGG
rfam:Paenibacillus sp. FSL H8-0548 NODE_5_length_251317_cov_1.55176_ID_11272, whole genome shotgun sequence.